CGAGCGAGAGCUUCGGAGCAUUUCGCCAGGCACUGAAAGGAGCACCCAGUCAAAGCCAGACGUGUUGUUCGGUCAGUUUGGCGAAAUUUUCCCACCAUCGUGACGUGCGUGACUUGACCGGGUGGUGAUCCUUUCCCGAUUUCUGGGUGUCGCGUAAUCGUGAAAGCGUCCGUCGAGAAGUCGUUCCGGGUGCGUGAUUUCCGAUUAAUUGGAUCCGAUGCUCGGUGAUGAGCUAUUUUUCAUGUGGCUAUUGUUCUUGUGGGGGAUUCUCGGAAAACAACGUCGGUUUGCGAUUUAUGUAACUUCCGCCGGCCCUUAGGCAGCUACUGAAGGAAAAACGCUUUUCCAUCCCAUGAUGACAAUUUUUCCGAUGCCGAAAAAGCCGCCGUUAAGAAGAAAUGCUAUUCAAUGUUUUUAAACAAAAAAAAGUGUCCAUUCGAUUCGUGGUCGUUGUCGUCGCCGCCGGGAGUUAUAGCUGUCCGUUCAAGCAUAUCCGGUGAAUGAAGGAAAACCGAAGAGAAAGGCCUAAACCAAAACAACAAUCCGGUCUUUUGGUGCUGUUCAGAAAAAAACACAAGGCUUCCACCAUAGGAUGGAUGAGGCUGGGUCAAUUUCCCGCCCUCACGUUGCACCCGUUGGAAAGCGAUAAUUCAACGCCAGUGUGAAAAGUUUUUCCUUUUUAAAAAAGAGCUGUUGUUUUUACCCACGUCGUUCCGCCGUCGUCGACGCCAAGUGAAGUGAAACUUUCUCUGGGUCGUUGUUUUUAGAAAACCAGGCCGGGUCCGAGAGUAGGCACCAACAACAACCCUGCAAGGGGAGAAGUGACGGGAAAGUCAUCUGAUUAUUCAAUUUGGCGUGGUUGUGUGUCUGUGUUGUGGUUUUUCAGAGAUAAAGAAAGGAAAACGUGGAAAAAUUGGCGCUGACAAGGCUGAGCCUUUGGAAAUUCUUGCGAAUUUAGAGCGCGAGUUACGAGGGAAAGUGCUGUAUGUGUUUACCGAAAUUAUCCUGGUAUCAGUGAGUGUGAAGAAGAAACGUGACGAAAAUGUGGAUUUAAUGAUUUUACUGCUAUCCCGCAUCGGUUGUUCAGUAAACAACUUUCGGCUCAUUCAAGGGGAAGAAUUAUCACAAGAAAAUUGUCUGAGUAUUUUUAGAAUAACGCUUCCAAAGAUGAACACAUAAGCCAUCAACCCUGUACUAUGAACGGGUAAAAAUGUACUCAUCCAAUAAUCAACAACUGAAAAAGGUUUUAAUGCAUGAACUACGAAUAGAUUUAGUGUACUGAAUCCGGAAAAUAGUCUAAGGAAACGUGUUGAUUUGGAUUUGGGUCUACAGUCUAUUGAAGAUUGGUUCCACAGGUCAGACCUUCAACCAACUGAUCCACUCCAAUCCUCGUCGGUCAACGUUUUAUUUUCUAAGUGAGUGUAUAUGUGUACCGGAGUGUGUUUUAAGUGAAUUUUAAAUCGUCCACCCGUUAAGCCCCGAAGAACGCCGGAAGAAAAAUAGUGUCUGCGAAUCCUUCCCUUUGGACCCGUGUGAAACCGGUCAGUCUCUCAGAACAUCGUUUGAAGAGAGACGUCCCCGCACCCAUCAGCUGCGUGUUUGAAAAACGAAAAAGAAUUGCCACCCAUUAGUCACAAUCACGAGAAAAAAAAAGUGCUCCGAGCAAUCUGCAGAAGAAUUGGGGGAGGUUGGAGGUGAAAAUCAAGUGUCGACCAGGUUGCCACGAAAAAGACACUGAAGCCUGACCACUCGACGGGGAUUCGUCCGGUUUUCGAAUAGAAGAGGGAAAGUGGAAAGAAGCACCGUCGUCUAGCUGCGGGAAAAUUGUGAUUUAUUUUAUUUGUGUCCAUAUUUUACCCGCUUUCGCAUCGAGUGAAGUUUUCUGGUCCGUUUUCCCUCGUCGCUGUGGCCUUCACACGACAAAUGAGUUUUAAAAUGAGCCGAAGAAAAAAAGGUGCUCCCGACACGGCGACAAAGUGUAAAGCGUGAAAGUGUAUAUCAUUAUUAAUGCCACGUUUUAUUUUGCCUAAUUUUUUACUGUUAUGUUGCUUUUUUCUACUUCGAUAACGAGGGGCCGUAACCUAACCUAGUUGCAAUACGUUCGCGGCGCGAGGAAGUUUUCCUAAUGAGGGCAAUAAAUCGGCGCGGAAACGAACACGAAAUGCGUGUCGCCGUGGCAAAACGAAGUCCCGAAUAAAACCCCACCUCGACAUCAUCCUAAUGAGGUCGCAUCUAUCACACGGUACGGUGUAGAGGCCUUCAUCAGUCCUUAGUGGUGAAAAAGCGAUCUCAAUCCGAAUCACGCCAAAGACGAAACGCUCGUGCAUUAAAACAGUUAACGGAUUCGUAUAGGUAAUCUUAGGUGAAUUAGAACCUUAUUGCACCUGGUUGGAAACAUGAAAUCGUUCGCAGUCACGGCAGAAGUGUUGAGCUCCAGGAGGACAUUCCCGCGGUGGCGGUGGCGAACUUUAUCGAUAGCAGUGUUACUGAUGUUGAUGUGUAGCGGGCGACUGGCGUGGGGAGCGGCAGAAUCGACGCCACAGCGCAGAACCAGUGAGCAUGGUACAAGUUCAGCAAGUGGCACCAGUAAGAGACAGGAUGGAACUGAUCGAGGACAUUU